GUCGAGGUCCACUCAGCCUUCCAUCCAUCCAUCCGUGGUCGGUAAAAUGAGUACCCGGCAUAUGCUGGGGGGUAAAGAAAGGCCGGGGAAGGAGCUGGCAAUCCCACCCCAUAUAUACGGUCUGCCUAGUAAACGUCGCAAGAUAUCACCCUAAGAGUCAGAAAUGACUCGCACUAUAAGUGCGGGGACACCUUUACCUUUUACUAGCGAGGCACGGCUCAGUUUCUUACAACAAAAUGGCAACCACGAAGGCACCCCUCGCUUGCCAGGACUGCCCAAGGUGGCCUUGGACCGCCGCCAGCCGGCAUGGAGAGAUCCUUUGAGUCUCACAGGUGGCGUUUUCCAUUGACUCUGAGGGGUCACCUCAGUGAUAUCAUGGAUCGACCUUGCAGUCUCCAAAGUGCUGUGUCCUCAUCUACCAAGGAAUCCACUUCAGAGGGUCUAGGCACAACUGGAAUUCGCACCAACGACAGUAUUCUAAAGUCAUCCCCCACCCCUUGGUCCAAACAGGCCUCUCCAUUUCCUUAUAUUGUCAAUGUUUCUGGUGCAACUCAAACUGAUUUUGUGGGUCAUGGUAAAUCUACUCAAACAGAUGUUCAUUGCUUUGAUCAGUCUACUCAAUCAAAAUUUCACCCAGAUCAACUAUAAAAGAGUGUUUGAAAUAGGGUUUGUCUUUAAUCAUGACCAAAUGGAUAUGUAAAUCUCUGAGGCCAAAGGAAAAAGUUACUCAGGGAAAGGUAUCAAAGUUAUAUAUAUAUUAUGUAUUGUAUUAUAUUCAGUGAACUUUAUGAAUAGCAUUGUAAUCAGUCUAGGGUUAAAGAAGCACAGUCUUUUCCCACUGAUGUUCCUUGUUAUGACCAAAUGGGGGGGAAUUAUGUGUGAGAAGUAGUAAUUUCUUGAGUUCAACCUUUUCCAGUUCUUGUAUUCACCAAUAUAGCAGUUAAAGCAAAGAAAAAGGAGGCCUGGAUACACGCAGCACGUGUGAAAAGGACAUUACAUCCAGCAGAUGCUCUCCCAACCGUGGGACCCUGAUGCUUUGUUUCCAUUACACAAAUUGCCUGAAGAGAAUCUAGUGAGACUGGCUGAAAAUAUUCUGAGAUAGAGCAGAAAGAGACAUUGGAAAUAUGUGAGGAACUCACUAACUUUAAAUUAAAAGCCUUUGAUUCCUUCCCAGGUUCUGCAAAGUAUCCUCCUGAUGGAACAGAUGCAGAUAUUGCCAAAAUGUUAAGAGAGGAAGGCUUUUCGAUAAGAGGACAGCAUUGAUUCAGGUUUGAUUUCCCAAGUAAGGGCUACAGGAGAAUUCCAGACGAUUUGGACAAAGCUUGGAGGAUGUGGAGGACUUCCUGCCCUGACAUGCUGGAAUCAGGCUUGGCGACUUUCCAAGAGCAGCUUAAUCAAGAGUGUUUGUUGGGAGAACUCCUCACACAUAUCAAUGAAGGAUUCCAAGGCUGUUAUAGUUUCAGCCCAUGCCAGUUGAAGAAAAGGCAUUUCAACAGUCACUCGAUGGGAGGCAGGUUUGGAGAAAUAAAGUCUCCAUGCCUUUCCCCCCCCCCCAAGGUUUCCAGAGAAGAUGCUACAGUUGUAUUUUAUUCUUUUGAUGUACUGUGAUUGCCUAUGUUUCUGAUCGUAUCUUACCCUGUUUACUGUUUAAUGUUUAAUGUUCCUGUUAUUGUAUAGUUAGGCUGUACUAUGGGUGUAGAAAUGAAUCCAGCUGGGAAGUUUGGUUGGUUUGUGUUUCUAUCAUUAUUACAAGUUUCAAGUUUCACACCAAGCAUGCAUAUGUCCACAAUGGCCUCCCAAUCAGGAUUACAUCAGUAAGGUAUUUACUAUGAUGGAUAUGACAAUGAUUCAGCGUUAUGAUCCAAGUAUUAAGUGUAAAUAAGAAGAAGCCAUAAUGUGGGUAGGGUAAUAAAGAUAAUUGGUCUGCUAGAAAACGCCAUUAUUGCUAUAGCAUAUUAUUGUUGACCGCACCCACAUAGCUGUUUGUCUCUG